GCGAGUGAUAAUCGAAAAAAAAUGCUCGGCUGCACUCCGAUCGGAAGUGAAGGCACCUUGUGCAAAGUAUCGAGGCACGCAGGGGACAACGCAAGAAACAGAAUGAUCGGCACCCUUUUGUGCACUCUUGUGGUACGUGUUUUUUGAACAUGUCUGUAUGACACCACCUCGGGCAGUAAGCUUAGACACAAAUCAUCGAAUGCGCCCUACCAAGGAGCAUCAUGUCCCUUCUGAGGGUCAGCUUGCUAGCCUCAUACGCAGAGUGCGGCCAUUCAAGUGCAUGAAGAUCGCCAGAAUUCGCAUGUAGGUGAAAUUCUGAUACCUGGCAAUGGACCCCAAUGCAAGAAGCACUAGAUGCGCACCGUCACUUCAGACUAUCAUCCGCUAUGACUCCCAGCAGCCCUACGAGAAGCAUUCACAAUGCGUCCUCCAUUUUUUAAGAGUGGAGCGAAUGCAUUGCACACUGCAUGUGUGCUGCGGUGGUUGAUAAACAUGAAAACCCCAGCUCUAGUAUGAAACUGGACAGUAAAACAAUAACGGUACACAAAUCGAGCGUUGUUCGCAAAGGUACCAAUACCAGCAGGGCGCUUCUGCUUGACAGUCAGCGCUGUAGAGUCGGCAUUCGAAACAUCAGAGAUACCCAGCUUGAUGUGGUGCAGCGCAGUGGCAGGGCAUGCUGCUUUGAUAGCCUUCUCCGCCUCACUAGCUUUCACGUCACUUUGACAACCCACAAGCGCUACACAUUUUCAUUAGCAAAGUUUCCAAGCAGUGAAAAUCACCAAAACUCUGUUGCAGCCGCUAACGAAAGCUGCAGGCAUGAUUGAAGCCAAAGCGGGUGCAAACUGUAAGAUUUCGAGAUCACAUAAAACUGAUUGCUCUGUUUUGCGAAAAAAUAUAUCGUCCUCAACCGUUCAGACACACGCCCUCGGCACCAUGGACUGUGCCAAGUCAUCAACACAUGGUGAGAAGUGACAGAGGGAAGUAGUCGGCUGCACCACAUCAACCACAACAUUAAGCUGCACGCGUUCUCCCUGUCAAAAAACGUCCUGGCAAUCUACGCAGCCUUCCCUUCCCUUCCCUGGCGCACUAGAACGCAUUCCUUGACCGCACGCGUGCUUUCAUUCCUGUACAUCAUGCAGCACAAACCGAGAAUUGAGUUCAGCCAUCCACCUCAGAGUGUUGCUGAUGUUUCUACGUUUGAAGCGCUAAACAUCUUCCAGAUACAUAUCCCGCCAAUAAUGAAAUCAGUAGCGGUCCUUGUAGGCCAGAAAAAAAAAGACGACACCGUCGCUGCGCAUCGAGCAAAUAAGCUCUACCCACUCAAGUUCAGCCCCCCCCCCACCCCUGCGGAUGAGCAUUUCCCAUCUUUACCCUGAAAAGAAACGCCCCCUUUAAUUUUGAAAAACCCACACACCCCUGAAGUAGCGAUCGCAUAUGUUACUCGUAGUCGUCCCUCCUCGCAAACCCACGACCCAUCCCCUACACGCCAACAACCCCAAUGCAACACACCCUAAAGCACCGCCCCCACAGCACACUAAAGAACAACAAUCACACACAUCACACGCACAACAACAGCUGUGCAACAAUCAUUUCCAACUACAUCGCAAAACACCUACAAAAACUACCCAAUCAACACAGCAAUACACCUAAACAUCUCUGCCGUAGUAACAACAGCAAAAUACACAAAAGACAGCUCACCUUCUCACGUCAAUCUUCACAUUUCUAGAUGCCAUAGCUGACGCGAUUGAAGGCAGCUCUUGGGAAAGCACCUGCGCGUCGCUCGAGUACCGCCCUCCCUCGGACAUGCUCAUCAAAAAGCCGGCCCUGAAGAUGGACGCAGUCCUGCAACCCCCUCACCCCCAGCGAUCCUUGAUUAUGGGCGCGCAUCCAUGGCCCCCGCGCACUACACACACCGGCGGUGAGAGAGGGCGUCCGCCAUGUGAGCGCGCAAGAGCAGACCAGCGUAUUGCGUAAGGUGCGCCAGCAGAAGCCGAGCCGGAAUCCGGAAGCCUCUUCCCGCGCCCCUGCUACGUGGAAAAAGGGGGGCGCCUUUCGCCCCUCCUGAAGUUUCCUACGCCCGAUGGUGGACCCGCGCCCCGCCGUCCCGCGGCGCUGGCCAGCGAUCUGCGCAAGCCGCCCGGAAGAAUGGUCUCGCGACGACUGCGCGAGCAUGUGUGGGACAGGCUCCGAGCACAGCCGUCUGGCCUCCGCCCUCGCGGCUCCACUUUGGACUCCCUAGAUUCGCUCCCCCGCGGCGCGGCCCAGCGCCAGCCACACACCAAGGUGGGCACGGCGCUUGCGGACCACGCCCGCGCGUUCGGCCCGGCAGGUCAGGGCGUUGCCGUCACGGCCCUGGGGAAGUUCAAUGUAGGCCCGCGUCUUCCCCGCUGGAUCCUGAAUUUCUCAGACGGUCGUCGUGCCUGCGCUGGCCUCCGCCAGAGGAAAUCCGAGACGGCCAGGCUACCAUGCGGAGCCCCAGGGGGACCAGCCCGAGGACCCCUUCAUCACUGCCGUGGGCCCGCUGAGCCCGGAGCCCAGCAAGACACCCCGGCCUGCACCGCGCCUUCUUUUGCCGGUGACACCACACACCCCGCGCCCCCACCAGACAAGGGGGUCAUGCGGGCCACGCCGCGGCCCGCCCUCUGGAAGGCGCGGCGCUGGACGCUGCAGCGCCCACGGUGCUGGGCGCGCCCUCCACCCUCAAAACGGGACGCGCACCCUUUGGCGCGCGACACCAACACCAGCCGCAACCCCCGCCGCACGCCCGCACUUACAAGGGGAUCGGCGCCCCUGCCUUCUCGGCGUGGGCUUCCCGCCAACGCGCGGCGUUGGCCAACACGUUUCAGAAGCCGCCGAAGUAGCUACCGUUCGGCUUGCGAAGCUCGAGGCGGUGUGCUCGCACGAAUGGCGCCCGUCAAGGGGUCUUCACCGUUCUUUGUGCAUGGUGCGGGUGGACCAAAAGCUGCUCUACGGCGCCGCCGUGCGGCGAGGUGGCGCCGGAAAAGGCGGCAUGACCCUCCUUCGCCCUCGCGCCAAAGCGGCCGCACCCGCCCUCACCCCCGCACACUGACGCGAGCGGGCUACCCUGCGCACUUGGCGCGGGAGGUGUACACACCGGGCCGCGGCGUUGCCACAGGGGUUCGGCAGCCCUCGUGCGGGCAUGCAGGCGCCAGCCCUUUUGGAGCUUCGCACGCACACGGCAUCUUUCGUCGGCAGCGGUCGUGCUGAGCGGGCUGCCCCCGUCGGGCGUCUGAGGCUGGUACCCUGUGCCCCUUUCAGGGCGACAAGCCGUGACCUUUUCGCGCUCAGGCAGAUGCUUGCCCGCGGCCUCUCCCUCAGCACACCCACGCCUGGGAAAGGCGGGCGGAUGUAGGGGAGGGGACAAAAGGCCCCUGCCGCUGCAGACGCAUAGCGGCGUCCCGGCUGUUGCGGCGCGUGCGGGCAGGCCAUCCACACACGCCCCCACCCCCGGCGAUAUCGACGGAAAUGGAAGAUGAUGGGGGCCAUCCCCCGACAACGACGUCGCCCGGAAACAUGCCCUGAAGCGCCGAGAUGCGGGCGCUGCCGUGCGCGGCUGGCGUGGUGCAUCGCACCAAAACAAAGCGCGCGGGCGUGAGAAGCGCACGGCGGACGGACGGAAAAGGCGCGAGCGUCUUUGCGCCAGUCAACCUCAAAGUGCGUGCGUGCGAGGCGUGCGGCGCCCUCUGCGUCCGGCCGGGUGGGCCGAUGUGGCGCAGACGCCGGAAGCAUGACGAGGACACCCCGGGCCGCACCGUCGGGUGCCCCGGCCUCCAGUGCGGGGGGUCCCCGCGCCAUGUUGUGGGAUGCCGCGGCUUGGGGCGGCUCGGGGGGGGUGCUGUGGGCGGGCUCCCUCCCCGCGCAUGCCGGCCACAUGCGCCUUGGCCACCCCUCGCCGACCGCCCGGCGGACGCGAUUGCUUUCGUUCUCGAGCAGAACCCUGAAUGCGACCCGCUGGGAUCAGAGCAUGCGGCGGCGCCAGGUUCGUGCGGCGCCAAUCGCGCAGCGCGUGUCCCGGCAAGGGGCGGGGCAGGACAGGAAAGGCCGGGUGGGCGCAUGACCCGCACAGAGGGGCAGACGGCGUGUCCUAGGCGACAAGGCUUUAGCCGCGGCAAAAGAGAGGCAGACGAGCCGUGGUUGUGUACGACUGCGUCAGGUGUAUUGUUGUGAAGGGUACUCGUAAAGAAGGCCUCGAGACGUCUUAGUGGGGAUUGGAAAAUUG
rnacentral:misc_RNA from 1 species